CCUACGGGUGGCUGCAGUGGGGAAUAUUGCACAAUGGGCGCAAGCCUGAUGCAGCCAUGCCGCGUGUGUGAAGAAGGCCUUCGGGUUGUAAAGCACUUUCAGCGGGGAGGAAGGCGGUGAGGUUAAUAACCUCAUCGAUUGACGUUACCCGCAGAAGAAGCACCGGCUAACUCCGUGCCAGCAGCCGCGGUAAUACGGAGGGUGCAAGCGUUAAUCGGAAUUACUGGGCGUAAAGCGCACGCAGGCGGUCUGUCAAGUCGGAUGUGAUAUCCCCGGGCUCAACCUGGGAACUGCAUUCGAAACUGGCAGGCUAGAGUCUUGUAGAGGGGGGUAGAAUUCCAGGUGUAGCGGUGAAAUGCGUAGAGAUCUGGAGGAAUACCGGUGGCGAAGGCGGCCCCCUGGACAAAGACUGACGCUCAGGUGCGAAAGCGUGGGGAGCAAACAGGAUUAGAUACCCGGGUAGUC
rnacentral:rRNA from 1 species